rnacentral:rRNA from 1 species
AGGGAGCCUGAGAAACAGCUACCACAUCCAAGGAAG